rnacentral:rRNA from 1 species
CCGGAGGAAGGUGGGGAUGACGUCAAGUCCUCAUGGCCCUUAUGACCAGGGCUACACACGUGCUACAAUGGCCGGUACAAAGAGUUGCGAUACAGCGAUGUGGAGCUAAUCUCAUAAAGCCGGUCUCAGUUCGGGAUUGGAGUCUGCAACUCGACUCCAUGAAGUUGGAAUCGCUAGUAAUCGCGGAUCAGCAUGCCGCGGUGAAUACGUUCCCGGGCCUU